AACGAACGCUGGCGGCAUGCCUAACACAUGCAAGUCGAACGAGACCUCCGGGUCUAGUGGCGCACGGGUGCGUAACGCGUGGGAACCUGCCCUUAGGUUCGGAAUAACUCCCCGAAAGGGGUGCUAAUACCGGAUAAUGUCUUCGGACCAAAGAUUUAUCGCCUUUGGAUGGGCCCGCGUUGGUUUAGCUAGGUGGUAGGGUAAAAGCCUACCAAGGCGACGAUCCAUAGCUGGUCUGAGAGGAUGAUCAGCCACACUGGGACUGGGACACGGCCCAGACUCCUACGGGAGGCAGCAGUGGGGAAUAUUGGACAAUGGGCGAAAGCCUGAUCCAGCAAUGCCGCGUGAGUGAUGAAGGCCUUAGGGUUGUAAAGCUCUUUUACCCGGGAUGAUAAUGACAGUACCGGGAGAAUAAGCUCCGGCUAACUCCGU
rnacentral:rRNA from 1 species